rnacentral:rRNA from 1 species
CACGUAGGGCGCGAGCGUUGUCCGGAAUUAUUGGGCGUAAAGAGCUCGUAGGCGGCCUGUUGCGUCCGCUGUGAAAGCCCGGGGCUUAACCCCGGGUCGGCAGUGGAUACGGGCAGGCUAGAGGUAGGUAGGGGAGAAUGGAAUUCCCGGUGUAGCGGUGAAAUGCGCAGAUAUCGGGAGGAACACCGAUGGCGAAGGCAGAUCUCUGGGCCGUAACUGACGCUGAGGAGCGAAAGCAUGGGGAGCGAACAGG